UAUGGCGAUGUCAAGCGUUCUACUGCUGGUGAUGCUGGGACUCCUUGUACAGGAAUCAAUGGCAGAUAUAGUCCUGACUCAGGCUCCAGCUGCUCGGUCUGUUCAGCUGGGAGACACUGUCUCUAUCAGCUGUACAGUCAGUCAGAGCGUUUACAAUGGCAACUGGCUCCACUGGUACCUGCAGAAACCUGGUCAGGCUCCUAAACUUCUGAUUUAUCUUGCCACAAGUCGCCAGUCUGGGAUUCCUGAUCGUUUCAGUGGGAGUGGAUCUGGGACUCAGUUUACACUGAAGAUCACUGGAGUCCAGGCUGAAGAUGCAGGAGAUUAUUACUGUCAGGGUGCUCAUUAUAUCAGUAGUAGCUGGGUGUUCACACAGUGA